rnacentral:rRNA from 1 species
GUAGGGGGCAAGCGUUGUCCGGAUUUAUUGGGCGUAAAGCGCGUGUAGGCGGUCAGGCAGGUCUGACGUGAAAUCUCGAGGCUCAACCUCGAUCGGUCGUUGGAAACCAUCUGGCUAGAGUCCGGAAGAGGAGAGUGGAAUUCCUGGUGUAGCGGUGAAAUGCGCAGAUAUCAGGAAGAACACCGAUGGCGAAGGCAGCUCUCUGGGACGGUACUGACGCUGAGACGCGAAAGCGUGGGGAGCGAACAGGAUUAGAUACCCUGGUAGUCCACGCCGUAAACGAUGGGUGCUAGGUGUGGGCGGUGUCGACUCCGUCCGUGCCGAAGCUAACGCAUUAAGCACCCCGCCUGGGGAGUACGGCCGCAAGGCUA